rnacentral:rRNA from 1 species
UACGUAGGGUGCGAGCGUUGUCCGGAAUUAUUGGGCGUAAAGGGCUCGUAGGCGGUUUGUCGCGUCGGGAGUGAAAUCCACUGGCUUAACUGGUGGCUUGCUUUCGAUACGGGCAGACUGGAGGUAUGCAGGGGAGAACGGAAUUCCUGGUGUAGCGGUGAAAUGCGCAGAUAUCAGGAAGAACACCAGUGGCGAAAGCGGCUCUCUGGGACGGUACUGACGCUGAGACGCGAAAGCGUGGGGAGCGAACAGG